rnacentral:lncRNA from 1 species
CAAUUAUGAAUGUUAUUAUAAUAUGUCUACAGUCUUGCUCUGGGGAGGAGAAAGUUACUUCCAGAAGGAUAAAAACAAUAGUUGCAUACAGUACAUACAAGGAACAUUAAAGGUGGUAAGGAAACAAGUAUCUAAGAUAAACUCUUGGCUCCAUUAGGGGGACAUGAAUUCCAGCAAGCGAAUUGGCUCACGGAAAUAAGAAAAUGCAUGAAAAUAUCACAGAAUCCAUAGUUUACAUGACAUAAAAGGGGCCAAACACACAGGCAGCCUGUAGGUUGGCAUGGGCUUCAUGUACUUUUCCAUGCUUGAGGAAAAGUAAUAAUCUCUUUCUGCCAAGUCGGUCUCAGUGUUAGUACCAAGGAGAGUCUUCCCAUGUUUGUGGAGAUUGUUCAGGUCUGGCUCAUAUGCUGAAAGGGAUGUACUGGAACCUUUACAAAUAUGAAAGCCAAAAAAAAUCGGCAGAAAAUGCUGAAAUGUUUGUAUGAGAAUUUAGCCUGCUUAGGGAAGAAGCCUGGGCAAUUAUGCCAAGGAGGACAACAAAAUAUUGCACUACAGUGAUGCAGCAAUUUGCAGAUUAUUUGGGAAAAUAUCCUUCAAUAAAAUGUCUACUUGGGUGUAAUGGGCAAUGGAGACAAAUUUCGAUAUCCUUUACUGAAUCAAAUGUGAGGUUAACUGAGGAGAAAAUCAAUCCUUUUUUUAAAAAAGUAUGGUUAUAUGUGACCUGGUCAAAACUUGAUUCAGCUACACAAAAUUAUCUGUUGUGUUUUAUAAGACACUCACUUGGAAUUAGGUGAGUAAUAUCUGGUUUACAAAUAUGUAGGUUAAAGUCACUUAAAAAGAAACGCUUCCAAAAUAUGUAGCUGUGCUAGAACAUCUAUUUCUUUUAUAUAGAGAAAAUGAAGGGCCAAUGAGAAGAAAUCUGUACCCUAGAAUGCAUUUUCCUGUUCUUCCUAUAUUAUUUCUAGUUCUAGAAACAGUUCUAAUAACAAAGUGUAAAAUUAAAAUGCAAUGCAGUGCAGUUCUUAAGACUAUGGGCGUUUGAGUCAAAUAGAGCUAAAUACAAAUUCUAUUUUUGUCAUUUACCGAUUGAAUGAACCUAGGAAAGCUAUUGAACUAGCCAACCCUCGCAUUUCCAUUACGAUAAUGGGAAUAAUACAAACUUUAUAGUUUCAAGAGGAUAAAAUGAGAGAAUAUAUGUUAAAAUAACAAAGUGACUGGCAUUUAAUAAAUUCUGAAAGAUUAUUUCACUUACCUGAGUAUUCAGAAAUAUUUAUUGAACAUUUGUGAUAUGCUAGACAAUGGUUCUAGGGAUAUAACAGUCUUUGAUAUCAGGAAGUCUGAUGAAAAGAAAAUUAAUAAACACUGAAACAAAUAAUAUGUCAGAAGUGUGGUCUGGGAUAAAAAAUGCAGAGUGCUAAAUGAUAG